UUCUCGAUUAAAUAAUUCUGUAGUUAUCAUAACACAUGAUACACUACGUAAUCUGUAACUUUUGCUAUUCAACACUACACAGAAAAACACCUUCAACCUCUUUAUGAUAUCAGCGUUCUUAAAUACCUUCAACGAAGUUUCUUUAUUCUCCACUAUGUCCGGUUCUUCCCACAACGCACCCUUCUCUCGCACUCUUUCCCUGAUUACUGCUGGGGCCAUACCCAUUACAACAAAUCAAACCUUUCUGUCCAUAAAUGUCACAGUUAGCUCCCCCUGAAACUCUUGUUUCAAAACAACCCAUCCUGGCAAGCACAAUUUGUCUCUCUGAUAUUUAGCCUGGACCAUAUAUAUAUAGGGAUAGCCCCUUCUGUCAAUCUUUGUAUAAGUAUUGUUUGGCUUAUUACUUGAUUCUCCAUGUGAAGCCAAGAGAAACUGUAUGCUAACAAAUCACAUGCUCCUGUGAUGUAUCUGAAAGAAAAAUUGACCACUGCAUUGUGGCUGAAAAACACUUGAGGACUACCUGAAAUUGGUCAAAGCUAUUACUGAUGAGUUGGUUCUAAGUGAUGCACUGGUCUUGGAUGAUGAUUUGUCUUAGUGGUGCAUGCGUCCAAUUUAAAUAAAUCUGAGCAGCUGCCUGUGCCAAUGGAUCGCCCAACACCCACGAGGAGCUGGAUGACAAGCUUUCUGCAUACAGUGACUUCCUCACGCACACAUACCAACUUAACCUCAGUGAUGGCUUAAGUGUCUCUGCACACAAGCUCAAUGGAUUGCCCUAGUUAGAUACUCAAUGUGGAGAAAAAGGGACAACAGUAACAGAGGAUUGGAGACAAUAGGUGGUAUAUGCCAACCGGGAUCAUCUGAAGUCUCGACCUGAGGAUAAUGCAGUUUGGUUUCCUCCAACGGAAAAACAGUCCCAACAAAGGUGACAUGGCAGGUAGUGUAGAGCUAACCCUGGAAAAUGUCAAUAAAAGUAGGUACUCUAAUUCAGAGAGUAGCCAAGAAAGAAAUACACACUGCAUGGAACAAGGUUCAAUUGUGUGUGAGUUGUAUGUAAAGGCAUAAUAGUGGGUAGCAAAGAACGCAAAAGUCAGCAACUUAAGAGAAGGUGUUAAAUUAAACAGGUGCUUGUAGGGAUAGAAAAACUAGAGUAUAUGCAAGUAAUUGAUUGAUGAGGUGCAAGACUACCCUAAAUGCACCAAGAACCGAAUAGAAAGGGCUAUUGCUGCACUAUCCUUGAGUUUUCGGUCAGUUUCAAUGAUGUGACAGUUUUUUUCGCUCAGCAGUCUCGUUUUGUUUAGUUGCGUUUGGAGUGGAGAAAUGACUAAUGUCAUUGAAUUGGAGACAUUGACCAAGUUUAAUGUACUUUGCAUCACCAUUUAUUUAAAGUUUAUGUGGUGUCUGUAGAGAGUUUUUUGUCUCCAGAAAGUGUUUUCACCUAUAGCCUUGAACUGUGGAAAUAUGGAAGAUAUAUCAGACUUGUUAUUGAGGGGGUAAGCAGGCUAAAGUCCAAGUAUAUUUUUGUAAAAUGGUCCAAAAAGAAUCCAUAAUACAAAGUUUAUCAAUUAUUAGAGCAAGUCACAGUCAUCAGAGACAAUAAGGUCU
rnacentral:lncRNA from 1 species